rnacentral:rRNA from 1 species
UACGUAGGGGGCGAGCGUUGUCCGGAUUUAUUGGGCGUAAAACGCUUGUAGGCGGCCACCGCGCGUCGGACGUGAAAUCUCCCGGCUCAACUGGGAGGGGUCGUGCGAUACGGCGGGGCUCGAGGCCGGUAGGGGGACGCGGAAUUCCCGGUGUAGUGGUGAAAUGCGUAGAUAUCGGGAGGAACACCAGUGGCGAAGGCGACUUCCUGGCCUGUUCUUGACGCUGAGGCGCGAAAGCUAGGGGAGCAAACGGGG